rnacentral:lncRNA from 1 species
GCCUAUUUGACAUAAUUGUUUGUGUAUAUAAAUAAUAGUUUGCUUAACCAUUAAGUAAUAUAAUAGUUGUAAGAGCAGUAUAUGUAGUAGUGUGUGCGCAACCAUUUACUAUAACCGCUUUAUAGAGUAGUCAAAGUUUAUUAUUCUCUCUUUCUCUUCUUUCAUCUUCAUCCAUUUCACCUUGUUCACCAACAAUAAUUGUGGUGUGGAGAUGGCUUGGAUAAAAUCUUCUAAUUUUACUUCUUUUUAUCUUAUUGAAUUGCCAAUCCUUCUCAGUGCUUAAAUAUAACUUAGGGGAUACCUAUUUCAGUAUCACUUAUUGAAGUUUUUGGGAUCUUUAUGCUGUGUCUUCAGGUGCUUGGUGGUUCUGCUGUGUUUCGGAUCAAGCGAUAAUGCGCUUCUGUUUUUCUUCUCCAAUUGUUGUAUCUCUAAAGCUGGUUGUGCAUGAUCAUUUAGAAUUGACAGUUGUGUUCUUUAUAUGCAGCAGAGCUCUUCUUGUUUUGACGGUGGUGCUGUGCAGCGUUUCAGAUCUUUCUGGAAGUGUCUGUCCUUUUUAGUUUUUGGAGAAUUCAGGCUGCAGCAGUCAGUUUGUUUUCCUGUGAUUGCAGCAUGUUGAUCCGGGUUUUGUUCCAUUUAGUGGAGCCGGUGUUUUUUCUGCCCAACUUUUCAAAUCACGCGUUAUGUUGUUUUUGUCUCUGGAAUGCAAGGUUCCGCUUUUUGAAAAUGUUGGGGUGCUGAUUUUAUCUACCUUUUUCUCCUUUCAGAUCUGUUUCUGCUUAAUGCUGUUAGUGGAAGAUUGAAUUUGAUAUCAGUUGAUAAGUGUUUGUUUUGAUAGUUUCUAUUGUCGCAUAGGAUUUUUUUGUUAGUCUUGGAGCCUAAGGUUGGCAGGUUGGGUGAUUCCUUAGUAGAGAGUGAUUUUUUAUUUAGAAGUGGGGUUGGAUCGUAAUUAAUAUUGGCAACAAGUAAAGGGGUACGUGUGUAU